UGGGGAAUAUUGCACAAUGGGCGCAAGCCUGAUGCAGCAACGCCGCGUGAACGAUGACGGUCUUCGGAUCGUAAAGUUCUGUUGCAGGGGAAGAUAAUGACGGUACCCUGUGAGUAAUCUCCGGCUAACUACGUGCCAGCAGCCGCGGUAAUACGUAGGGGGCUAGCGUUAUCCGGAUUUACUGGGCGUAAAGGGUGCGUAGGUGGUAUUUCAAGUCGGUGGUUAAAGGCUACGGCUCAACCGUAGUUAGCCUCCGAAACUGGAAGACUUGAGUGCAGGAGAGGAAAGUGGAAUUCGCAGUGUAGCGGUGAAAUGCGUAGAUAUUGGGAGGAACAACAGUAGCGAAGGCGGCUUUCUGGACUGCAACUGACACUGAGGAACGAAAGCGUGGGUAGCAAACAGG
rnacentral:rRNA from 1 species